GGAGAGGUGCUAGAGUGGUUGAAUAGGGCACACUCGAAAUGUGUUAUUCGAGAGUAUUCUCGGAUCGUGGGUUCGAAUCCCACCCUCUCCG
rnacentral:tRNA from 1 species